rnacentral:rRNA from 1 species
CGCGUAGGCGGUUGAGUAAGUCAAAUGUGAAAUCCCCGGGCUUAACCUGGGAACUGCAUUCGAUACUGCUUAACUAGAGUAUGGUAGAGGGAAGUGGAAUUUCCGGUGUAGCGGUGAAAUGCGUAGAUAUCGGAAGGAACACCAGUGGCGAAGGCGACUUCCUGGGCCAAUACUGACGCUGAGGUGCGAAAGCGUGGGGAGCAAACA